GUGGGCGGGCUCCGAGCCCGGGUCAGCCGGCCCUAGCCGCCCCGCUCGCCCUCCCUGAAUUUAUCCGCCGGCCCCCAAGGGACCCUUUCCGGUGCCAGCGAGAUACCCCCAGCCUAUGCGCUGGCCGCCAUCCCCCGCUCCGCCACGUCCUGGAGUCCGAGUAAAAGCCUGAGCGCGGAGGUCCCAGCCCCGGGGCCCUCCACGCGCUUUGCGGAGCGGGCAGCUGGAGCAGCUGCGAAGAGGGGGAAGGGUGGCUGGAGGAAGACAGGUCGCAGGGACAGCAUCUCGCCGAAAGUCAGACCCGAGCGAGCACGCCCCGCCCGGAGGAACCGACUUGGAAGGGAGUGCGGGCCAUCGGGGACAGAGAAUAUACAGCUCCAUGGAGACAUAAAGUAGAUUAGCAGUUGCUCAGGACUGAGGAGAAUGAGGAGAUACAGGGCUGUAGGGUAAAGAAGGAGGAAGCCAAAGAGGAGAGAGGGAUGCAGAGCAAGUAUGGAAAUAAUCAGCUCUUCCAAAAGAAUCCAUGUAACAAAUCAUCUAUUGAAAGAAAUACAGUGUGUUACAUUCAUACCACCAUCCAUACCUAUUUGGAUAGUAGCAGCUGUUUUAUUUGAAGAUCCAUGAGGACUUUCUCCUCAUGGAAAUAUGUAUAAUCAUAUGGCUAAAAGAAAGCCUUCAGACAGAUCUACCCCUAAAUAAUUUUGGGUAAACCAGCUGCAUUAGCUUUGG